rnacentral:rRNA from 1 species
UGAGUAACCUGCCCUUCACUCUGGGAUAACUCCGGGAAACCGGGGCUAAUACCGGAUACGACCUCGAGCGGCAUCUCUUGAGGUAGAAAGUUUUUGGCUAGGGAUGGGCCCGCGGCCUAUCAGCUAGUUGGUGUGGGUAAUGGCCCACCAAGGCGACGACGGGUAGCCGGCCUGAGAGGGUGACCGGCCACACUGGGACUGAGACACGGCCCAGACUCCUACGGGAGGCAG